UUGAGGGCAGGAGGAAAAGGGGAGGACAGGGGAUGAGAUGAUGGAUGGCAUCACUGACGCAAUGGACAUGAGUCUGAGUAAACUCUGGGAGUUGGUGAUGGACAGGGAGGCCUGGAGUGAUGGGGCCGCAUAGUCUGACCGGACUGAGCGACUGAACUGAACUGCUUAACUCUUCUCAUUUUGCCCUCCUUAGGGUCCAUGGAAGCCGUGGAGAAGGAAAUCAAAGGCCUGAUUAGCUGCCUCUUGCCCACAAAGGAUGCCGUAGGUACAGGAUGCUGUGAGGAUGAAGUGAAAUGGAGCACACGGUGAGGAGCUGGGCUGCAGCAGAUCAAGUCGGUGCUCGCCCCAAACGCCCUGAAAGUCCCUGUAAGGGUUGGCAGAGAGAACCAGAACUGCCUCGAGGUGAUAUCCCCCCACUGCAACCUUUAAUGAAGAUCAGUCAGCUUCUUGACUGGGUCCCUAUGGCCCCUAAGACGUCGCUUUCUGCACCUGAGCCCCAGGUUUGCAGAGAGCAAAAGCAACUUGCCCAACCACAGGCCCCUUGAACAAGAGAUACGACUUUUAACAAAAAGGAAUGCACAACACAAGACAAGUGCUCGGGCCUGGUGCACUGGGAAGAUCCAGAGGA